GAUGAAGAACGUAGCGAAAUGCGAUAAGUAAUGUGAAUUGCAGAAUUCAGUGAAUCAUCGAAUCUUUGAACGCACCUUGCGCUCCUUGGUAUUCCGAGGAGCAUGCCUGUUUGAGUGUCAUGAAAUUCUCAACCCCUCUGGCUUUGCUAGUCAGGCUUGGAUUAUGGGAGCUGCUGGCUUUUGAAGUCGGCUCUUCUAAAAUGUAUUAGCAAGAUCAUUGCUGCUGAUCAUUGGUAUGAUAAUUAUCUAUAUCAUUGAGAGUCAGUUUCCUUUAUUGGAAGAUUUUGCUCCUAACGGUCUUUAGCAAGACAACAUUUGACGAUUUUGACCUCAAAUCAGGUAGGACUACCCGCUGAACUUAAGCAUAUCAAUAAGCUGAGGA
rnacentral:misc_RNA from 1 species